AUGCCAGCAAUGGCCGCGGCGGCGCAGGAGCAGUGGUACAUCCUGUACGCCGUUCCAGACGUGGGGGACGAUGUGAUGGAGACGGUUCCGCUGCCGUCCCACCGCUCCGUCGCUUGUGGCGUCGCCAGCCCCACCGGGGACUUCGAAUACCCCUACAUCGCGGCCGCCGACCGCAGCGGCUUCCUUCUGCUCUGCGGCCACACCGCCGUCGGGCUCACCCUCUACGUCUGCGACCCGUGCUUCCGCAGGACGCUGGGCGUCUUCCCCCACGACGACGGCAUCAACUGCCGCCACUGCGUCGGCGAAACCUGCUUCACGCUCUUCUGCACGGUGGACCAGUACUCGUGGGUCGAGAAGGAGCCCGACUGCUCCAGCAUCUUCUCUGUCGACCUGCAGAACGGGAGCGUGGUGCAGUGGGGCAAGUUCGAAGGUUUGGGGAUGCCGGACGGCCCGGACCUGUCCUCCCGCCUGGUCCAUGCUUGGCAGUUUCCGCCGGAGCUCGCCGAGUAUCGCCCCUUGCCUGGUACCAUCUCGUGCCCUCUCUGUGUCAAGUGUUUGCACGUUAAUUUGCGUGUAAACAUGAUAAAUUGCCUGGUAGCCGCAUUUUGGCAAGCAACAUAG
rnacentral:rRNA from 1 species